UAGAGAAACGGUGAUAUAGAAGACGAAAAUUGAAGUACCGAAUAUCGUUCCUAUCCCGAUUCCGUUUUCGAUGGCUCUGAAUUGGCUAGAAGAAUUCUAGUAUUUCAAAGACAGAACAUCGCGCUACCCUUAAGCAAAAGGGUUACAGCACCGCGAUCGGCCCAAAGAACGAGGGUCCGUGAUUUAAAGGUGGAAAUCCGCAUUCUCGAAGACGAAUCGAAUCGCAAAGCAAAAAUGCCUAUCUGUGGGCAGAUUCAAACGGUGAAACGUUACUCCGAAGAGUUUUAUCACGAUGAUCCCGAACCGUAUGGACAAUUAUGUGAGCAAAGGUCGAGUAGUAACAACUCUGUUGUGCGCAAACUACGACCGUCAAAUAGAACCGGCAUUGUGUCGAAAUAUGCCUCGCUCGGUAACUUUAACCAAUGACGUAGUGGAUCCCAGUGGAACAUUUGGGAGCGCCGGACAAAAGGGAGAUAGAUAAGAAAAUUGGAACUCACAGCAUCGUCUACAGCAGCAUACCACUCUCGAAAACCCCAGCUGGAACCCCCGACGGAUUAGACUUUAUGGACAUUUCAAAAAUUAGAAUAUCAUUCUGUUGCCAGAAAAACGGAGAUUAUGUCGCUUUAGAUUCUUUGUUGCUUAUUAUUGCCUCAAUUGCUUUUGUUAUGCUAGAAGAACCGCUAAGAUAUUUU